AUUGAACGCUGGCGGCAUGCCUUACACAUGCAAGUCGAACGGUAACAGGUCUUCGGAUGCUGACGAGUGGCGAACGGGUGAGUAAUACAUCGGAACGUGCCUAGUAGUGGGGGAUAACUACUCGAAAGAGUGGCUAAUACCGCAUGAGAUCUAAGGAGGAAAGCAGGGGAUCGCAGGACCUUGUGCUACUAGAGCGGCCGAUGGCAGAUUAGGUAGUUGGUGGGAUAAAAGCUUACCAAGCCGACGAUCUGUAGCUGGUCUGAGAGGACGAUCAGCCACACUGGGACUGAGACACGGCCCAGACUCCUACGGGAGGCAGCAGUGGGGAAUUUUGGACAAUGGGCGCAAGCCUGAUCCAGCAAUGCCGCGUGCAGGAUGAAGGCCUUCGGGUUGUAAACUGCUUUUGUACGGAACGAAAAGCCCUGGGUUAAUACCCUGGGGUCAUGACGGUACCGUAAGAAUAAGCACCGGCUAACUACGUGCCAGCAGCCGCUGUAAGAC
rnacentral:rRNA from 1 species